GGCGUUUCAGGUGGCACUGGACCCAGAGUUCUGACGACAGGCCAGAAGCGGGAAACUAAAGAAGUUAUGUGUGAGCAACGUCGUGCUACAGGCUAGCAGGUC
rfam:Pantoea sp. At-9b plasmid pPAT9B02, complete sequence.